rnacentral:rRNA from 1 species
AGGUUAAGCUAGAAAGGGCGCACGGUGGAUGCCUUGGCACUAGGAGCCGAUGAAGGACGGGGCAAACGCCGAAACGCUCCGGGGAGCUGUAAGCAAGCGUUGAUCCGGAGAUGUCCGAAUGGGGGAACCCACUGUCCGUAAUGGGGCAGUAUCCAUGCCUGAAUCCAUAGGGCAUGGAGGGCACACCCGGGGAACUGAAACAUCUUA